AUGUUGAAGACCCAACCACUCUGGAAACAAUCGCAUUCCGGGAAGGUUCAGCAUUGGCGCAGGAUCUCAAUCUGCAGAACUUCAUUAUAUCCCCCGACUCGAGGCAAGCCAUCACCGAGACCGCGAAAGGGAACUGAGGACGAAACGGUGCUAAUAGUUAGUGAGAUUAAAUCGUUAGCAGCUCUUUUCAACUGUAAUUUCAUUUUCGAAGGCCGUGAUGUCAAUCAUGAAGCGCAUAGUUUAGUCAAGCAUUCUCUUACUCUAGGUCCAGGUCAUCACAUUUGGUCCAGGUCGUUGUGGCUUUUGCUGAAUGUAGAUUGA
rnacentral:rRNA from 1 species